rnacentral:tRNA from 1 species
GGGGAUAUAGCUCAGUGGUCAAGCAUCUGUCUAGCAUUCAUGAGGUCCUGGGUUCAGUGCCCAGUACCACAA